AACGUAGGAGACGAACGUUAUCCGGAGUUACUGGGCGUAAAGGGCGUGCAGGCGGUCUGUUAAGUUCGUUGUGAAAUCUCUCGGCUAAACCGGGAGGGUGCGAUGGAUACUGGCAGACUAGAGGACGGUAGAGGCGUGUGGAAUUCCGGGAGUAGUGGUGAAAUGCGUAGAGAUCCGGAGGAACACCAGUGGCGAAGGCGACACGCUGGGCCGUACCUGACGCUAAGACGCGACAGCAUGGGGAGCGAACGGG
rnacentral:rRNA from 1 species